UGGGGAAUAUUGGACAAUGGGCGCAAGCCUGAUCCAGCCAUGCCGCGUGUGUGAAGAAGGCCUUUUGGUUGUAAAGCACUUUAAGCGAGGAGGAGGCUACUUGGAUUAAUACUCUAGGAUAGUGGACGUUACUCGCAGACUAAGCACCGGCUAACUCUGUGCCAGCAGCCGCGGUAAUACAGAGGGUGCGAGCGUUAAUCGGAUUUACUGGGCGUAAAGCGUGCGUAGGCGGCUUUUUAAGUCGGAUGUGAAAUCCCUGAGCUUAACUUAGGAAUUGCAUUCGAUACUGGGAAGCUAGAGUAUGGGAGAGGAUGGUAGAAUUCCAGGUGUAGCGGUGAAAUGCGUAGAGAUCUGGAGGAAUACCGAUGGCGAAGGCAGCCAUCUGGCCUAAUACUGACGCUGAGGUACGAAAGCAUGGGGAGCAAACAGG
rnacentral:rRNA from 1 species